rnacentral:rRNA from 1 species
AUGAUGCGUGAGGAGCUCGCGAUUGGGGAGGAAUGCAAGUCUGCGGGGAUGCCGCCGUUGGUGCCCGGCGCGGUCGACGGUGGGUUCUCGGUGCGGGUGUCCAACUUCCCGUCGGACGAGGUCGACGGGGACCAACUGGGUCUGGGCGAGGCCGUGGACGACGAGGCAGAGGAGUUCAUCGCCCGCUUCUACGCCCAGCUGCGUCGGUAG